rnacentral:rRNA from 1 species
AACAGGAUUAGAUACCCUGGUAGUCCACGCCCUAAACGAUGUCAAUUAGCUGUUGGGCAACUUGAUUGCUUAGUAGCGUAGCUAACGCGUGAAAUUGACCGCCUGGGGAGUACGGUCGCAAGAUUAAAACUCAAAGGAAUUGACGGGGACCCGCACAAGCGGUGGAUGAUGUGGAUUAAUUCGAUGCAACGCGAAGAACCUUACCUGGUCUUGACAUGUACGGAAUCCUCCAGAGACGGAGGAGUGCCUUCGGGAGCCGUAACACAGGUGCUGCAUGGCUGUCGUCAGCUCGUGUCGUGAGAUGUUGGGUUAAGUCCCGCAACGAGCGCAACCCUUGUCAUUAGUUGCCAUCAUUUAGUUGGGCACUCUAAUGAGACUGCCGGUGACAAGCCGGAGGAAGGUGGGGAUGACGUCAAGUCCUCAUGGCCCUUAUGACCAGGGCUUCACACGUCAUACAAUGGUCGGUACAGAGGGUAGCCAAGCCGCGAGGUGGAGCCAAUCUCACAAAACCGAUCGUAGUCCGGAUUGCACUCUGCAACUCGAGUGCAUGAAGUCGGAAUCGCUAGUAAUCGCAGGUCAGCAUACUGCGGUGAAUACGUUCCCGGGUCUUGUACACACCGCCCGUCACACCAUGGGAGUGGGGGAUACCAGAAGUAGGUAGGGUAACCGCAAGGAGCCCGCUUACCACGGUAUGCUUCAUGACUGGGGUGAAGUCGUAACAAGGUAACC